rnacentral:tRNA from 1 species
AGAUAAGUAUUUAAAUAUAUAAAACCUAAUUUGCACUUAGAAAUUGUCCUACACCUUAUCUA